rnacentral:rRNA from 1 species
CGACCGGCGCACGGGUGAGUAACACGUAUGCAACCUGCCCGUCUCAGAGGGAUAAUCGUCGGAAACGGCGUCUAAUACCCCGUAUGAAGCUGGACGGCAUCGUCUGGUUUUGAAAGAAUAUCGGAGACGGAUGGGCAUGCGGCGCAUUAGCUAGUUGGCGGGGUAACGGCCCACCAAGGCGACGAUGCGUAGGGGUUCUGAGAGGAAGGUCCCCCACACUGGUACUGAGACACGGACCAGACUCCUACGGAAGGCAGCAG